AGUGAACGCUGGCGGUAUGCCUAACACAUGCAAGUCGAACGGCAGCACAGUAAGAGCUUGCUCUUACGGGUGGCGAGUGGCGGACGGGUGAGGAAUACAUCGGAAUCUACUUUUUCGUGGGGGAUAACGUAGGGAAACUUACGCUAAUACCGCAUACGACCUACGGGUGAAAGCAGGGGAUCUUCGGACCUUUCGCGAUUGAAUGAGCCGAUGUCGGAUUAGCUAGUUGGCGGGGUAAAGGCCCACCAAGGCGACGAUCCGUAGCUGGUCUGAGAGGAUGAUCAGCCACACUGGAACUGAGACACGGUCCAGACUCCUACGGGAGGCAGCAGUGGGGAAUAUUGGACAAAGGGCGCAAGCCUGAUCCAGCCAUACCGCGUGGGUGAAGAAGGCCUUCGGGUUGUAAAGCCCUUUUGUUGGGAAAGAAAAGCAGCAGGUUAAUACCCCGCUGUUCUGACGGUACCCAAAGAAUAAGCACCGGCUAACUUCGUG
rnacentral:rRNA from 1 species